rnacentral:misc_RNA from 1 species
UGGAGGAGACAUUUAAGCAGCUGGAUGGGGAACUUGGAUGUAUAGACAAGGAGCUUCAUGAACUAUCUCUAAAGGUUGGCCCUAAUUCCCCUAUGAGAUUGCAAUCUGUCUUGGAGGGUUUGUUGUAGUUUCCAGUGAUGUUAUCCUUUGUAUUUGACUACAUGAUAAAGAGAAAAAGCCGGACAUAGUCCAUUAUCUUUGGGCGGAGGCUCAAAAUGAUCGUAUUUCUUUCACACGAGCAACCAAUUUGUUAGAAAAUGACGACUAUUGAUGCUCCAUGCAAGAGAGAUACGAUCAUUUUGAUCUCAAGUUCAAAGAAUAUGGACUAUUUUGGGUUUUUUCUGUAAUGAUAGGAACUCUUACGAUUAGAGGUGAAGUCGAGUUUUUCAGUUUAUGGAUUCAGGACCACAUAUUAAAUGAAAUGAUUAACACAAAUAUAAA